rnacentral:rRNA from 1 species
UGAUCUGCCUUAAACUGGAUCCGUAGAGCUGUAGCCGAUGACACAUCGCGAUAGCUAUAGCUCUUCGGGACCUGGGAAACUGGGUCUAAUACCGGAUAGGACCAUGCUUUAGUGUGUGUGGUGGAAAGUUUUUCGGUGCAAGAUGAGCCCGCGGCCUAUCAGCUUGUUGGUGGGGUAAUGGCCUACCGGCGACGACGGGUAGCCGGCCUGAGAGGGUGUACGACAGUUGGGACUGAGACACGGCCCAGACUCCUAAAUUCGCGCUGACAUCGGGAGGGGGAAUAUUGCACAAUGGGCGCAAGCCUGAUGCAGCGACGCCGCGUGGGGGAUGAAGGCCUUCGGGUUGUAAACUCCUUUCGCUAGGGAAGAAGCCUUUUUGGUGACGGUACCUGGAUAAGAAGCACCGGCUAACUACGUGCCAGCAUAGGGAGGGUUCCGCGUUGUCCGGAAGAGCACAUUCGCGAUAUAGAACUUACUGGGCGUAAAGAGCUCGUAGGUGGUUUGUCGCGUCGUCUGUGAAAUCCCGGGGCUUAACUUCGGGCGUGCAGGCGAUACGGGCAUAACUAGAGUGCUGUAGGGGAGACUGGAAUUCCUGAACACCGAUGGCGAAGGCAGGUCUCUGGGCAGUUACUGACGCUGAGGAGCGAAAGCAUGGGUAGCGAACAGGAUUACCGGAUACCCUGGUAGUCCAUGCCGUAAACGGUGGGCGCUAGGUGUGGGGGUUUUAUUCGAUUCCCGUGCCGUAGCUAACUAGACGCAUUAAGCGCCCCGCCUGGGGAGUACGGCCGCAAGGCUAAAACUCAAAGGAAUUGACGGGGGCCCGCACAAGCGGCGGAGCAUGUGGAUUAAUUCGAUGCAACGCGAAGAACCUUACCUGGGCGACAUACACACGCUGCGGAUCGCUGCAGAGAUGUGAGUUUCCCUUGUGGCUGGUGUACAGGUGGUGCAUGGUUGUCGUCAGCUCGUGUCGUGAGAUGUUGGGUUAAGUCCCGCAACGAGCGCAACCCUUGUCUUGUGUUGCCAGCACGUUAUGGUGGGGACGCGAGAGACUGCCGGGGUUAACUCGGAGGAAGGUGGGGAUGACGUCAAAUCAUCAUGCCCCUUAUGUCCAGGGCUUCACAGGAUCCAGCUACAAUGGUCGGUACAGUGGGUUGCGAUACCGUGAGGUGGAGCUAAUCCCUUAAAGCCGGUCUCAGUUCGGGGCCGUCUGCAACUCGACUCCAUGAAGUCGGAGUCGCUAGUAAUCGCAGAUCAGCAACGCUGCGGUGAAUACGUUCCCGAUUGCAUGGGCCUUGUACACACCGCCCGUCACGUCAUGAAAGUUGGUAACACCCGAAGCCAGUGGCCCAAACUUGUUAGGGAGCUGUCGAAGGUGGGAUUGCGAUUGG